GCAGUCGUCGCCGAGUGGUUAAGGCGAUGCACUAGAAAUCCAUUGGGGUCUCCCCGCACAGGUUCGAAUCCUGUCGACUGCG
rnacentral:tRNA from 1 species